AGCAGCGUGGCUCAGUGGAAAGAGCCUGGUCUUUAGAGUCAGAGGUCAUGGGUUCUAAUCCCAGCUCUGCCA
rnacentral:tRNA from 1 species